rnacentral:sRNA from 1 species
AAUGACUUUAUAGGGGCCGGUGUAUGG